rnacentral:lncRNA from 1 species
GGGUGAGGCUCGAUGCCUGUCCGGCUUUGAACAUGGCCAAGUGCUGCCCUUGCCCCCUCCUAGGUUUUCCUGAAGCCUGGCGUGGUCUCCAGACUGGAGAAGCAGCGGGACAAGCUGAUCUCCCCGAUGGUGAUGCUCCUCCAGGCUGCCUGCAAGGGCUUCCUCUCCCGUCAGAAGUUCAAGAGGUUGAAGAUCCAGCGCCUGGCCGUGCGGUGCAUCCAGAAGAACCUGGCGGCAUACCGGGUGGUGAAGGAGUGGCCCUGGUGGCAGCUGCUGUGUUGCCUUCGGCCCAUGCUUAGCACGCACGUAACAGAGGACCAGCUGCGGGCCAAGGAGGAGGAGCUUGCGGUGGUGAGAAGAAAGCUAGAAACGUCUGAGCAGUCACGGC